UGAGGAGAUGUUUCCCUUUAGAGAACACCAUUGAUGCUGUUGAAAGUAUUUUACUAGAUGUUGAAAACAUGGAGGUCUUAUUAAUUUAAUGACCCCACCACCACCACUCCCCCCCCCCCCCCCGCCCCCUCCCCACAUCCCUUCCUAAAUGAUUACAUCAAAUCAUACAGGAAUCUGGCGCUAUCAGAGCCAGGGUUAAGGCCUAAUAGUGUCACUAGUUACUGAGGUUCUUGAUUAAGUCACCAUACUUUCCUGAAUCUCCAAAUAAGUUACAUUAAAAAUGCAUUUGAUUAAAUUACUUAUUUUCAAGGGAAUUGGAAGAAAGGGACUGUGAUUGGUGUUUCGAUCUAAUCCCCCGAAGAUGAAAACAUGAACAAAAAUAUUUCUCCUUUUAUAUUAUUCUUAGUUAAGAGAAAUGCUCUGCCAGGAGAAACCUUAAAUGACUGUCCAAUGGGUAGGGUGUUUUAAAGAAUCUAAUAAAUUCAGAUACUUUUUCUUUUUACACAAAGUCACAAAUGACGUUAUGUUGAUAAGUGUUUUUAUGACUUACCUUAAACAACAUUUAAAUUUAAGCCAACGUUAAAGUUGUGAUUUUGGGAAAUUUUUUACUUACCCUUCCUCUCUUCCCUACUUCCUUCCCUUAAGAACCCCAGUCUUAUUUUCUCAUUUAUAUCCCGGAUGAGGCUGUCAGAUAUUGAAACCGACCUUUUGAAGACAUGUAAACUUUUUGGGGACUGACUUUUCUCAUUCAAAUAGUCUAAUAUCAGUGGAUAUGAACUCUGCAUGUUUUUACUUUUAAAUCUUAUGCAUCAUUUAAAUGUUAACUUUCAAAAUACUAAUCUUGAAUUGUCACAUUUUUGUGUGAGUUGGCAUUAUCCAAUUAAAUGAACAUAAAUUAUACUGCCUACAUAGAUUGGAAAAAUAUCUUUUGGUGGGCUGUGUAUAUGCACACGUGUUUAUGUAAAACCAAAUAUCAACUUACAAAGACCAGUUCAGUCUUAUAGUCUUGUUUAGUGUAACAUACGGGCUAAGACAUUUGCUUAUUUGAGCCUUUUCACCCUUUAUUUGUAAAACGGAGGAGAGCCCUUAAGUGAAAUGUAAACUAAACUUGGAACCCCUAAAAUAAUUUUGAACACUACUUCACAUUUAAAUGUUUUUUUAAAAAUAAAGCAAAGUUUAAGAAGCAUGUUCGGUAAAGAGUUCUUUGGCAGGAAAUGGGGACUUAUCAGCCAAGCUAAUAGCCUUAGCUAUGGCAUCCAUAGUAACUAACACAUGCUGCUGAUGUAAAUAUUUAUUGUCAAGAUUUAUGCCAGCGAGCAGUGCCGCAGAACCCAGGCAGAGCAGUUCAGGCCAGUGAAAUUAAAGCAUCAGCCACCAAUGUUUGAUUUCUUUUGUAUUAUCCGGUAUUCCAAGCGUUACAACAUCAUUCAUCUCUUCUAGGGUUUUUCAAAAUAGUUUAGCCAUAAGAAAAAUAAUCCUAGAAGACCAAUUUACUCGGAGUAAUUCGGGACCCCCUCCCCCACAGCAUGAUAGAUACCCAAAUGAGAAUAGAGAGGCUGUUAUUGUUUGUCAUUAACACCCUGGAACCUUUUUCAUCUUCAAAGCUCCUCGCGAAAGGGUUCAUUAGCCGUCGCCCUCUUUCCUAUGAGACAGUAAACACGUAUGGUUAGUCCUACUUUGACAGUGGUGGAAACCAAAGCAGAGAGGUUCUCCAACUUGCCUGAGGUCCAAGAAGGAGCUGGUGACAGAGACCAGAUACCGAACCAGCACUUGGGUUUUCUGACUCACGGUUCUGGGCUCACCCCUCUCGGAGCAUGCUACCCUGAGCCUGCUCUUGCAGGUUUCUUUAUCACAGGGAUCUAUCUACACGGUACUUUCUGCUCUCAGCUUUUUACGGUGGUGUAGAGUGCAGUGCAGCUGAAACCAGGUUAGUUGAUCUUAUGGUGUCAUCUAGAAAAACAAGAGAUGCAGAUUCUGGGUCACGAAGACACAGUGCCCACCUGUUCCGUGGCACAGCCCCAGAACUCCUGUUGAAGAAACAGACUCCAGGACUGACUUUCCACUUGAUUUUAGGAGCUCACACAUCCCGAGAGAUUCAUGUUCAAGCUGCAUUUUACACCUCGCUGGCAAGGGUAUUUUCGUGCUAAACAUAAACUUACUAUUGGUAAAGAUUCUUAAUGAGUAAUUCUUAGGAUUCAGUACAAAAUUAGAUAUAUCCUUUUUAUUGGUAAUGAUAGAGCGUGGAGUUCUUGCAGGGUGGGGGAGAGAGGCAUUCAUCCGAAAACUGGCUGUGUUUUAGUGUAAACAUUUGUCUACGGGGAAACAGUAGGAAAGCAUCAAGAAAUAUUUCUUGAUGUAUACAAUUGAAGUGAUGUUUACAUUGUAGUGAAAAGAAAACCUCCGCAUGCAUGUUCCUGAUUUUAGUAAAGCUCUGCAGAGAUUUCCUUCCUCA